AACAGGAUUAGAUACCCUGGUAGUCCACGCCGUAAACGAUGUCGACUUGGAGGUUGUGCCCUUGAGGCGUGGCUUCCGGAGCUAACGCGUUAAGUCGACCGCCUGGGGAGUACGGCCGCAAGGUUAAAACUCAAAUGAAUUGACGGGGGCCCGCACAAGCGGUGGAGCAUGUGGUUUAAUUCGAUGCAACGCGAAGAACCUUACCUACUCUUGACAUCCAGAGAACUUUCCAGAGAUGGAUUGGUGCCUUCGGGAACUCUGAGACAGGUGCUGCAUGGCUGUCGUCAGCUCGUGUUGUGAAAUGUUGGGUUAAGUCCCGCAACGAGCGUAACCCUUAUCCUUUGUUGCCAGCGGUCCGGCCGGGAACUCAAAGGAGACUGCCAGUGAUAAACUGGAGGAAGGUGGGGAUGACGUCAAGUCAUCAUGGCCCUUACGAGUAGGGCUACACACGUGCUACAAUGGCGCAUACAAAGAGAAGCGACCUCGCGAGAGCAAGCGGACCUCAUAAAGUGCGUCGUAGUCCGGAUUGGAGUCUGCAACUCGACUCCAUGAAGUCGGAAUCGCUAGUAAUCGUAGAUCAGAAUGCUACGGUGAAUACGUUCCCGGGCCUUGUACACACCGCCCGUCACACCAUGGGAGUGGGUUGCAAAAGAAGUAGGUAGCUUAACCUUCGGGAGGGCGCUUACCACUUUGUGAUUCAUGACUGGGGUGAAGUCGUAACAAGGUAGCCGUA
rnacentral:rRNA from 1 species